rnacentral:rRNA from 1 species
AACGGCCACAUUGGGACUGAGACACGGCCCAGACUCCUACGGGAGGCAGCAGUCGGGAAUAUUGCACAAUGGAGGAAACUCUGAUGCAGUGACACCGCGUAUAGGAAGAAGGUCUUAGGAUUGUAAGCUAUUGUCGUGUGAGAAGAAAAUGACCAUCACAGGAGGAAGCCCUGGCUAAAUAUGUGCCAGCAGCCGCGGUAAUACAUAUGGGGCGAGCGUUAUCCGGAUUUAUUGGGUGUAAAGGGUGCGUAGGCGGGAAAAUAAGUCAGUAUGUGAAAUCCCUCGGCUCAACUGAGGAACUGCAACUGAAACUAUUUUUCUUGAGUGUUGAAGGGGAAAGUGGAAUUCCUAGUGUAGCGGUGAAAUGCGUAGAGAUUAGGAGGAACACCAGUGGCGAAGGCGACUUUCUGGGCAACAACUGACGCUGAGGCACGAAAGUGUGGGGAGCAAACAGGAUUAGAUACCCUGGUAGUCCACACCGUAAACGAUGGAUACUAGGAGUUGGCAAAAAUAUUGUCGGUUCCGCAGUUAACGCAUUAAGUAUCCCACCUGGGGAGUACGACCGCAAGGUUAAAACUCAAAGGAAUUGACGGGGGCCCGCACAAGCAGUGGAGUAUGUGGUUUAAUUCGAAGCAACGCGAAGAACCUUACCAGGGCUUGACAUAUACAGGAAUAUAUAAGAGAUUAUAUAGCUCUACGGAGUCUGUAUACAGGUGGUGCAUGGUUGUCGUCAGCUCGUGUCGUGAGAUGUUGGGUUAAGUCCCGUAACGAGCGCAACCCCUAUGGCUAGUUGCUAACAUUAAGUUGAGGACUCUAGCAAGACUGCCGUUGUUAAAACGGAGGAAGGUGGGGACGACGUCAAAUCAUCAUGCCCUUUAUGUCCUGGGCUACACACGUACUACAAUGGGUAAGACAGAGGGAAGCGAAAGUGCGAACUGGAGCAAAACCCUAAACUUAUUCUCAGUUCGGAUUGGAGUCUGAAAUUCGGCUCCAUGAAGCUGGAAUUGCUAGUAAUGGCAGGUCAGCAUACUGCCGUGAAUACGUUCCCGGGCCUUGUACACACCGCCCGUCACACCAUGAGAGUUGGGAAUACCCGAAGCCUGUGAGCUAACUUUUAAAGAGGCAGCAGUCGAAGGUAGAAUCAAUGAUUGGGGUGAAGUCGUAACAAGGUAGCCGUAUCGGAAGGUGCGGCUG